rnacentral:miRNA from 1 species
AUAUUACAUACUAUUCCAA